AUUGAACGCUGGCGGAAUGCUUUACACAUGCAAGUCGAACGGUAGAGGGGGCAACCCCUCGAGAGUGGCGAACGGGUGAGUAAUAUAUCGGAACGUGCCCAGUCGUGGGGGGAUAACGUAGCGAAAGUUACGCUAAUACCGCAUACGAUCUAAGGAUGAAAGCGGGGGAUCGCAAGACCUCGCGCGAUUGGAGCGGCCGAUAUCAGAUUAGGUAGUUGGUGGGGUAAAGGCUCACCAAGCCAACGAUCUGUAGCUGGUCUGAGGGGACGACCAGCCACACUGGAACUGAGACACGGUCCAGACUCCUACGGGAGGCAGCAGUGGGGAAUUUUGGACAAUGGACGCAAGUCUGAUCCAGCCAUUCCGCGUGCAGGAUGAAGGCCCUCGGGUUGUAAACUGCUUUUGUACGGAACGAAAAGGUCUCUCUUAAUACGGGGGGCUCAUGACGGUACCGUAAGAAUAAGCACCGGCUAACUACGUGCCAGCAGCCGCCGUAA
rnacentral:rRNA from 1 species